rnacentral:rRNA from 1 species
UACGGAGGAUCCAAGCGUUAUCCGGAUUUAUUGGGUUUAAAGGUUGCGUAGGUGGGUUAUUAGGUCGGAGGGGAAAGCUAGCAGCUUAACUGUUAAAUUGCCUUUGAUACUGUUAUUCUUGAGUAUAGUUGGCGUUGGCGGAAUGUGACAUGUAGCGGUGAAAUGCGUAGAUAUGUCACAGAACACCGAUCGCGAAGGCAGCUAACGAAACUAUCACUGACACUGAUGCACGAAAGCGUGGGGAGCAAACAGG